UCGGUUCCGUGACGUGGGCCUUCGAAUUCGAAGGGCAGCCCUACUUCGCCGGCUUCAGGGACCUGGCGACGAACGGGAUCGACAAACCGGUGCUGAACGUGUUCCGCAUGCUCGGAAAGAUGGUUGGCGAGCGUCUCCGCGUGCGCAGUUCCAGCGCCGCGCCGCUCGAGGAGAUUCGCGAUCGCGGCGUGCGCGGACGACCCGAUAUCUAUGGCAUUGCCUCCCGCGGCGCACCGGACGUCUCGGUCCUCGUGUGGAAUUACCAUGACGACGAUCUUCCGGCGCCGGCGGCGCAGGUCACACUCACGAUCGACGGUGUCAAGGACGGCGACGCCACCAUCACACACUUCCGGGUGGACGGCGAACACGGGAACUCGUACGCCGCCUGGCUGAAGAUGGGGUCUCCGCAAUCGCCAACGCCGGAUCAGUACAAGCAGCUCGAGCAAUCGGGCAAGUUGGCCCCGCUGGCUCCCCCGAAGCGGGUUCGGAUCACCGGAGGGAAAUGGACCGAGACGUUCGCACUGCCGCGGCAAGGUGUGUCACUAGUGGUGGUCACGCAGCGAUGACUCGCAGGCUCCUCGCAGCGAUCGCCCUCCUGGCCGCGUGCCUCCUCGCCUCGGCGGCUCCGAGCUCACUGUCGUCGGCCGCCCAGCCGGCGACGCUCACCGGUGCGGACGCGCCGCCUGGCGCGAUCUGGCUCGACAGUCUCGACCUCACGAAGAUGGUCCAGCGCCGUGGCACGCCGAGAGCCGGGAAGUCAGGCUCCGGCCGCGGGAACAAUCCCCCUCCACUUUCGCUCGGUGGCAUCGUCUACGCGCAUGGGGUCGGCACGCUGUCGAUCAACGAGCUGAUCGUCGAUCUCAAGGGACAGGCUACGCGCUUCGAGUCGAUGAUCGGGAUAGACGAUGCCGCGGCGAAGGGGCAGGGGUCGGUCAACUACGAGAUCUGGGUCGACAACAAACGCGCCUUCAUCAGCCCGCUGAUGAAGGCCGGUGACCCGCCUCAGUCCGUCUCCGUCGACCUGACCGGCGCAAAGUUCCUGGAACUGCUGAUCGACGACGGCGGCGACGUGAGCACGGGCGACUACGCGAAUUGGGCCGGUGCGGUAAUUCACCUCAAGCCGGGGGCGACCGGUAAGCCCGAGAGCUGGACGUUCCCGUCGGAACCCGCGCCGCCGAUCGCGUCCGGCGCUCCGGCGACGCCGCGCAUCAACGCACCACGCAUCACCGGCGGCACCCCCGGCCGUCCGUUCCUGUUCCGCAUUCCCGCAACCGGCGAAGCGCCGUUGACCUUCCGCGCAACGGGGCUGCCCGCCGGACUGAGACUCGACGAGCGGAACGGCACCAUCAGUGGGACGAUCGCCGCGGCCGGACGCACGAACGUCUCGAUCGAAGUGACCAACGCGAAAGGUUCAACGAAGAGUCCGCUCACGAUCGUUGGCGGUGAAGACGCGCUCGCGCUGACCCCGCCGCUCGGCUGGAACUCGUGGAACGUCUGGGGCGGCUCGGUGGACGACGCAAAGGUGCGCGCCGCCGCCGACGCGAUGGUCUCGAGCGGCCUGGCGGCGCACGGUUACCAGUUCGUGAACAUAGACGAUGGGUGGGAAGGGAAGCGGGACGCCGCGGGCGUGUUGCAGCCGAACG
rnacentral:misc_RNA from 1 species